UACCAGCACCCCGAGUGGUCGGGACGUUUAUUGGGCCUAAAGCAUCCGUAGCCGGUUCUACAAGUCUUCCGUUAAAUCCAACUGCUUAACAGGUGGGCUGCGGAAGAUACUAUAGAGCUAGGAGGCGGGAGAGGCAAGCGGUACUCGAUGGGUAGGGGUAAAAUCCGUUGAUCCAUUGAAGACCACCAGUGGCGAAGGCGGCUUGCCAGAACGCGCUCGACGCUGAGGUGCGAAAGCGUGGGGAGCAAACAGG
rnacentral:rRNA from 1 species